rnacentral:rRNA from 1 species
ACCGCAUAAGCCCACGGUGCCGCAUGGCACAGAGGGAAAAGGAGCAAUCCGCUUUGAGAUGGCCUCGCGUCCGAUUAGCUAGUUGGUGAGGUAAUGGCCCACCAAGGCGACGAUCGGUAGCCGGACUGAGAGGUUGAACAGCCACAUUGGGACUGAGACACGGCCCAGACUCCUACGGGAGGCAGCAGUGGGGAAUAUUGCACAAUGGGGGAAACCCUGAUGCAGCGACGCCGCGUGGAGGAAGAAGGUCUUCGGAUUGUAAACUCCUGUUGUUGAGGAAGAUAAUGACGGUACUCAACAAGGAAGUGACGGCUAACUACGUGCCAGCAGCCGCGGUAAAACGUAGGUCACAAGCGUUGUCCGGAAUUACUGGGUGUAAAGGGAGCGCAGGCGGGUAGACAAGUUGGAAGUGAAAUCCAUGGGCUCAACCCAUGAACUGCUUUCAAAACUGUUUUUCUUGAGUAGUGCAGAGGUAGGCGGAAUUCCCGGUGUAGCGGUGGAAUGCGUAGAUAUCGGGAGGAACACCAGUGGCGAAGGCGGCCUACUGGGCACCAACUGACGCUGAGGCUCGAAAGUGUGGGUAGCAAACAGGAUUAGAUACCCUGGUAGUCCACACUGUAAACAUGAUUACUAGGUGUUGGAGGAUUGACCCCUUCAGUGCCGCAGUUAACACAAUAAGUAAUCCACCUGGGGAGUACGACCGCAAGGUUGAAACUCAAAGGAAUUGACGGGGGCCCGCACAAGCAGUGGAGUAUGUGGUUUAAUUCGACGCAACGCGAAGAACCUUACCAAGUCUUGACAUCCAUCGACGACUAUAGAAAUAUAGUUUUCCUUCGGGACGGUGAGACAGGUGGUGCAUGGUUGUCGUCAGCUCGUGUCGUGAGAUGUUGGGUUAAGUCCCGCAACGAGCGCAACCCUUAUGGUCAGUUACUACGCAAGAGGACUCUGGCCAGACUGCCGUUGACAAAACGGAGGAAGGUGGGGAUGACGUCAAAUCAUCAUGCCCUUUAUGACUUGGGCUACACACGUACUACAAUGGCGUUAAACAAAGAGAAGCAAGACCGCGAGGUGGAGCAAAACUCAGAAACAACGUCCCAGUUCGGACUGCAGGCUGCAACUCGCCUGCACGAAGUCGGAAUUGCUAGUAAUCGCAGAUCAGCAUGCUGCGGUAAAUACGUUCCCGGGCCUUGUACACACCGCCCGUCACACCAUGAGAGCCGGGGGGACCCGAAGUCGGUAGUCUAACCGCAAGGAGGACGCCGCCGAAGGUAAAACUGGUGAUUGGGGUGAAGUCGUAACAAGGUA